CCUACGGGAGGCAGCAGUGGGGAAUAUUGCACAAUGGGGGAAACCCUGAUGCAGCGACGCCGCGUGAGUGAAGAAGUAAUUCGGUAUGUAAAGCUCUAUCAGCAGGGAAGAAAAUGACGGUACCUGAGUAAGAAGCCCCGGCUAACUACGUGCCAGCAGCCGCGGUAAUACGUAGGGGGCAAGCGUUAUCCGGAUUUACUGGGUGUAAAGGGAGCGUAGACGGCAGUGCAAGUCUGGAGUGAAAGGCGGGGGCUUAACCCCCGGACUGCUUUGGAAACUGUGCGGCUGGAGUGCAGGAGAGGUAAGUGGAAUUCCUAGUGUAGCGGUGAAAUGCGUAGAUAUUAGGAGGAACACCAGUGGCGAAGGCGGCUUACUGGACUGUAACUGACGUUGAGGCUCGAAAGCGUGGGGAGCAAACAGGAUUAGAUACCCGGGUAGUC
rnacentral:rRNA from 1 species